rnacentral:sRNA from 1 species
AAAAAGCGUCUCUGCGGAAGCGCUGCGGUCAAUUCACAGGGAAUGUCGGGCCGAAGCU